rnacentral:lncRNA from 10 species
UAUUGUUGCUGUUAACCAUAGAACAACAGGUAGGGGUGGGAGACAUGGGGGAUGAGAAGGAGAUGGCAUAGCCACACCCUGAGUUCAGAAGAGCAGAAGAUCCCAUCUAAAAUUCCCAAUGAUGGCAGCCAUUCUCUCCCCAGGCAUCUGACUGGCACCUCAGUGAUGGGAGUGAAAUAGCAUUUAUUAUCUGGUGACAUUUCGCAGGCAGCUUUUUACCUCCGCUUCCCCUGAGAUGUGAUAACAAAAGAUUGUCUGAUCUUCCUUUUACCCAUCUCCCCAGCUCCCUACCACCCCCAGUUCCCUUUCAUCCCUGCGUUUGAGGGCAACUGUUCUUCUGUCUCGAGGUUGGGCUGGCCAGAGCAAACAUAGCUUUCCCGGGGGAGACCAGGCCAUCUUUCUUCCUCUUACUUCAAAGGGGCUUUGGAACGCUCCACCCCAUGGGCUGAACAGAAUGUAUUUCAUUUUUUAGGAGGCUGGAAUCAGCUGCCGAGAAGGGCAGGGGCACCUUGGGCUCUCCUUCCCUUCCCCAUCUCCAGGACUCAGUAAGGAGGGAGGGCAUGAAAUCUCAGGCUCCUGGGCGGGGCUGGGGAGGCCGGCCUUGUCACAGGCAGGAGGGGCCGCAUUCCUUCCUCAGCAGCUGGUGGAGCUGGGCCUGAGCAGGACUUCCCCAAAGGACUGAGAAGGAAGCCUCCACUCUGUCGUCGCUCUCUGGAUCUCAUGAUGCAACAGUAGAGAGAAGUUGUUGUCUCACCUCACCUCUCAACCAUCUCCAAAAUAACCGGUCAGAGUAGCAGUACUUGAGCAUCCAUCCAUCCACGCAUCUAGACAGUUUCCCAGAUCUGGACCCCGGUGAGAAAAGGGAACUAAUCGGACUUCUUUUUCUGAAAUUCCAGCUUGGAAUUGCCUUCGGAAGACAUCCUCAAUCCUGCCCCAGCCUUACGAUUGUUUUGUGUCAUUAGAUGAAGUCACUUCACUUCUGAAGCUCACUUGCCUUUUCUAAAAACCGGAGGCUGAUAAGGAUUGCAGGAAACUCAUGGAGUUGUUCCGAGGUUAAAAUGAGAGUCUGCCUGUGGAAGGACAUUGCAGAUGAUAGAAGACACAGAUGUAAGGCAUCUACCUUAUCUUUACCAGUUUCAUCUUCUUCAUCUUCAUCUCAUUACCAUGGUCAUCCUCGUUAGCAGGGAAGAGCAGGAGUUCUCACGGCAGGAUAGGCUUCGCGGCUGUGCUGGGAAAUGCCUGUCUGAAGUAGGCCACACAUGGGCUGUGUGGAGAGCUGCACAAUAGAAUGGAAAAGAGCACUGAAUCAGGAGUAAAAAGAGCUGGGUGUUGACUUGGUACAUCCACAAACUAGCUGUGUAACCUUGUGGAUGCCGUGAAUGUCUCUGUGCUUCAGCCUCCUCGCCUGCAAGGUGUUCCUUGUUCUGAAGAGGAGAAACAGUAAAAAAUUUGCCAAGGACCCAAGAUAGAAGACUGUGGGCCCAGAUCCUAAUGUAAAAGAAGCCUGCCUCAACUUAAUUUUCCUGGACAGCAAGAGCUAUGAAAAUGAACUGGGUGAAUAUUGGUGUUUUCAGCUUGAGGUUCCAAUGAAUUAGGACAAUCAGAAGGAAGAGUUUAAUUUUGGGGUCUAGCAUGAGACCAUUCAGUUCAAACUUUCAUUUCACAGUUAGGAAACUAGACCCAGAGAGGCACAGUGCUUCGGCUUGAUGCUAAUAGACUGAUUUUGGAAGGCAGUUGAGCUGGAAGACACAGAUCUGGGGGCUGUCAGCCAAGGGCUGAGAAGGAUGUGAAUUAAGAAGGUGGGAAGGGAAUUGAUGGUUAAGGCCUGAGUCUUGAGAGAAACCCAUGGCCAGGAGCAGAGGAGUUAAGAUUCAUUCAGAAAUGCUCCUACAGACGUGGGAGAACAAGGAUUGUUCAGUAUAAUGGAAGCCAAAGGAGAGGGUUUUGAGGAGCAAAAGACUAGCCAACAGUAGCAAUUGUGUCAAGGUGAUCAAGGAAUAAGAUGUAAACAAUUGUUGGAUUUAUAAUAUGAUUUUAAAAGUGCAGUUUCAGUAAAGUGGUAAGAAUGGGAGGACAAUCAAAUGGCACGUGGUGUGUGUGUGUGUGUGUGGAGGUUGUGGUGUGUGUGGGGGGGGAUGUAUGUGUGGAGAGUGUGGCAUGAGAUGCAUGUGCAUAUGUAUGUUUAGGAUGAGGUGUGUGUGGAGAGUGAGAUGUGUGUGUGUAGGAUAUGAGGUGUGUGAGCUGUGUGUGUGUGUGUGUGAUGUGUGUGUAGGGUGCAGUGUUGUGGUAUAUGUGUAUGUGUACAUGGUGUGGGGGGUGCAGGGUGUGUGUGUAUGUAGGAUGCGGUGUGUGUGGAGAGUGAGAUGUGUGUGUAGAGUGCAAUGUGUAUGGGGUGUUUGUAGGGUGCGCUGUACAUGUGGGCAGUGUGUGUGUAUUCUGACUGAAUGCUGAGCACUGGUGCUUGAGCUCUCCUGCCCUGCCUGGGAGGUGGUGUGUCUGAGGUGAGGGGAAGGCUGACCCAGCUGAUGGGUCCUGUGAGGCAGAGGUUGAGGAGGGAGCCAGAGAUGAGAACCAACAACAUGCUCCAGGAAGAGGGACAGGCGCAGAAGCAAGGGGACACCAGACUGGAACAGAUGGACUCAUGCAGUUGUUCCUUGAUGGCCUGUUCACAUAUAGCAUUUGCCAUGUCCCACAAAUGCAGAAUUCUGGUGGAACCACAGUGCGUGGAAGUUCCAGGAGACUGAAAGUGGUGCAAGGUUAAGUGUGUUACAUAUGUAAUUGAGUAAUCAGGGGUGCUGACAGCCCGACAGGCCAUGCCUUCCAUUCGAACCAGAGCUUGCUUCACAUAGAAAGAAAGCAAUGGCUUUCUAAGGAAUGUGGACAAGUGAGGAACCCUAUCAUAUCCUUCUUACUCAUUUCUUCCCUGUGUUAACCAACCACUUACGCUGAAAAUGAUGACACAGAAGAAAGGGAAAGACAGGACAACCCAUAGUUCCUUUUCCUUUCAGCCCUUCCUUACUCAUCAGUAAGCUGAAGGUCAAGAGUAUUGAUGGAACAUGCACGUUAUCAAGAAGUAAAAUUAAAACAGUUGAGUUAGUUUUGUGCAGUGUUCCCGCUGCUCUGGUAAGGACAAAAUAUAUACGCAAGUAAGAGCUAGGAAAUAUGAACUGUGUAAUUUCAAUGAUUCCACGUAUGAGUCAAAUGCACUUAUUUUCAUUUACAACUAACACUACACAACAUAAAGAAUAGUAAAAUUCAUACUAAUAAUUAAAUUUUAAAUUUUUCUUUACUUAAAAUGACAUUAAAUAUCAAAUUAAAAACAUCAUGACUAGUAAAAAAAAAUUGUGGAAGAAAGAAAAAGUUUUAUGCUUUGGUGACCCUUAAUGGCCUUAUUUCCCUCUGGUUUUUGAACAAGGAGCUCGAUAUUUUCAUUUUGUACUGGGCCCUGAAAAUUAUGUUACUGGCCCUGGGUGAGAUGGUUGUUUAUAUUUGUAUGACCAGGGUCAAAAAACAGUCUUGGAACCACAGGAGCAGGGAAGAUUCACCAAUAAAUUGAUGAACACAAGUCUUCAUCAUUACCCACACACACUCACUGGCCCCUCAACAUUGGUAACAAUGGCCAUGGGUGGAGAGUUAAGAAGAUGAUAACUCCCAGAAAACUAUGCUUUUUCUGCUGAUAACUCUUCAACAUCUCACCACACCCAAUAUCUCUGCUUUUGUUAACAAACCAUGAACUGCUUCAAGUUGUCAUACCCUUUCUCACUGUCUUUCUUCUGAUUGGAACGGCCUGGUGAGAGCAGGCUGGUGGGAACACACACCUUCCGAAAGGCCCUCACCACAGCAGAUCACUGCUGGCGUCCGAGCUACUUCCUGCUUGUCCUGUUGUGUCCUUCAUCAGUGACCGCACUCUUGGAGUGCUUGCCUCUGGCUCCUGUUUUCCACCCAUUUCUCAGCCUGGUAACUCCUGGUUUCCAGUCUUAGUGGGCCCACUGCUCUGCUCCCACCUCCUGUGAUAGGGUCGGGAGAGCCGCCAACCCCACUUGACUCCUGGACCCCAUCCAGGCUGUGGUAUGUGCCAGCACCAUCUUCCCAAAGGAUGCUGCCCCUCCCUGAGGCUCAUGGUAUAGCUCUUCUCCCAUAUUCAUACCCCCGUCUUGAAGCCUGGCCCACAUAGGGUUUCCAGAAAGCCUUCCCCGAACCACUAAUAGAAACCCUACUAUACUCACACCUUCCUUAAGAGAUACUUCACAAACCCAGUUUUGUGCGGUGCAAAGGGGAUGAAAUCAGAAAUAACAUAGGUUUAAAUCCUGGUUAACUAACUGAUUUUUGAGUCUGUCAAUAAACCUCUCUGUGCCUCAAUUUCCCCAUCUACAAAAACAGGAUUGUGAUACUUACCUCAUAGGAUCAUUGUGAGGAUUAUGAGAAAUAGCACAGGCAAAGCACCUAGGUGCUGCCUGGCAUGUCCCAGCACUCAGUAAAAGCUCCCCCAACACUUUUCUCCCCCUGCUGGGGUUGGGCACCAUGCCUUAUUCAUGCCUUUAUUCCUUGCAGCACCUAGAGUAACAUCUUGUGGCUGGCAGAUGAUCAAUGCCUGUGGAUUGAAUUAAAUUAAAACUUUCCUUGUGUUACACUGUUCUCUCCAUGUCCCCAGUUGUAAUAUCCUCUUAAAAGUAUCAUCGCUUGGCUGGGCACGGUGGCUCAUGCCUGUAAUCCCAGCACUUUGGGAGGCUGAGGCGGGUGGAUUACAAGGUCAGGAGAUCGAGACCAUCCUGGCUAACACGGUGAAACCCCGUCUGUACUAAAAAUACAAAAAAAAAAAAAAAAAUUAGCUGGGCGUGGUGGUGGGCGCCUGUAGUCCCAGCUACUCGGGAGGCUGAGGCAGAAGAAUGGCAUGAACCCGGGAGGGGGAGCUUGCAGUGAGCCGAGAUCGCGCCACUGCACUCCAGCAUGGGCAACAGAGUGAGACUCCGUGUCAAAAACAAACAAAAAAAAGUAUCAUUGCUCAGCUUAUAAGUUCUACUUCAUGUUACUGCAGAUUGUGACCCCCAAAUGAAGUAACUUUUGCUGUUCCUUCUUAUUAAAAAUAAUACAUGCUCAAUAUAUAAAUAAAAAUACAAGCAAAAAGAGUAUUAAAAAGUCUGAUAAUUCUACCCACACAGACAUAGCUAGUAUUAACAUCUCUCCAUUAGCUUUUCAAUGCAAUGCAGCUAUUAUAUCUAUGUGUGUGCAUGUAUACAUGUAUGUAUAAUAUUUUGCUGAGGGAGGAAGGUGGAAAUAGCAUAUUAAGAGAGGGAUGUGGGCUUUAGAAUAGAAAAAAUUCAGCAAGCCUGUGCUCUGUGAGUGUGAAAAUAACCACUGGUGUCUACUUAGAUUCAGUAGGGUGGGAGUCUUGCUGGAAAUGCUUUUUAAAUUUCUAGUGCCAUAAUCUUUCUUUCAUCCAAAGAGGAAAAAAUGAGUCUUUACGUAUUUUUUAAUGUAGCGAUAAUUAUCAUUCAUCAGCAUACUGCACACUCUUUAUUUGGGUGUUUAUUAAGGAUCUAUUUCAUGCCAGACGCUGGAGUUGGCACUAAAAACAAGGAUACGGUUACUGCUCUCAGUGAGUUUUCAGUCUGGUGGGGGACACACAUGAGAAAUAGCACAGGCAAAGCCCCUGGGUGCUGCCUGGCAUGUCCCAGCACUCAAUAAAAGCUCCCCCCAACACUUUUCUC